UUGAAAGGGAAACGAUUGAAGUCAGUCGUACCUGCGGGUAAUCAGCCUUUUGGGCAUGAUUCUGUGGAGCGUGAGGAGUUAAACGCCUUCAUGCCUGCAUAUUCGUGUACUUUGGGUGUACUUGCCUGUGUGGUUAGUUAACAUCAAUUUUGGUUAUCAUAAAAUGGCUGGAGGAAUGUAGCUUCGAUUUCGAUUGAAGUGUUAUAGGCUUCGGCAGAUGUGAUGAUCGGGAUUGAGGAUUGCAACGGAUACCCUUCGGGGCUACCUGUCUGAUCUCUGAUCGUUGCUCUGGUGCCAAAAGCGUGCUUACGGUUAUCAAAGUCGAUGGUCAAUAGGUUAGAAUGGGUUAAAUUCGUUAAGGAUGUUGACGUA
rnacentral:rRNA from 1 species